UAGGGAAUAUUGGUCAAUGGGCGGAAGCCUGAACCAGCCAUGCCGCGUGCAGGAAGACGGCCUUCUGGGUUGUAAACUGCUUUUAUCAGGGAACAAAUAGGCCAUGCGUGGCGAGUUGAGUGUACCUGAAGAAUAAGCACCGGCUAACUCCGUGCCAGCAGCCGCGGUAAUACGGAGGGUGCAGGCGUUGUCCGGAUUUAUUGGGUUUAAAGGGUGCGUAGGCGGUUAAUUAAGUCAGUGGUGAAAGGUAUCAGCUUAACUGAUGAAGUGCCAUUCAAACUGAUAGGCUUGAGUACAGACGAGGUAGGCGGAAUUUAUGGUGUAGCGGUGAAAUGCAUAGAUACCAUAAAGAACACCGAUAGCGCAGGCAGCUUACUAGACUGAGACUGACGCUGAGGCACGAAAGCGUGGGGAGCGAACAGGAUUAGAUACCCGCGUAGUCC
rnacentral:rRNA from 1 species